GAUCUCCUACGGGGGGCAGCAGUGGGGAAUAUUGCGCAAUGGGGGAAACCCUGACGCAGCAACGCCGCGUGAGUGAAGAAGGCCUUCGGGUUGUAAAGCUCUUUAAUCAGGGACGAAGAAUGACGGUACCUGAAGAAUAAGCUCCGGCUAACAACGUGCCAGCAGCCGCGGUAAUACGUAGGGAGCAAGCGUUAUCCGGAUUUACUGGGUGUAAGGGGCGUGGAGGCGGGCC
rnacentral:rRNA from 1 species